rnacentral:rRNA from 1 species
GGUCAGGUUGAAGUUCAGGUAACACUGAAUGGAGGACCGAACCGACUUACGUUGAAAAGUGAGCGGAUGAACUGAGGGUAGCGGAGAAAUUCCAAUCGAACCUGGAGAUAGCUGGUUCUCUCCGAAAUAGCUUUAGGGCUAGCCUCAAGUGAUGAUUAUUGGAGGUAGAGCACUGUUUGGACGAGGGGCCCCUCUCGGGUUACCGAAUUCAGACAAACUCCGAAUGCCAAUUAAUUUAACUUGGGAGUCAGAACAUGGGUGAUAAGGUCCGUGUUCGAAAGGGAAACAGCCCAGACCACCAGCUAAGGUCCCAAAAUAUAUGUUAAGUGGAAAAGGAUGUGGCGUUGCCCAGACAACUAGGAUGUUGGCUUAGAAGCAGCCAUCAUUUAAAGAGUGCGUAAUAGCUCACUAGUCGAGU